UACGUAGGGUGCGAGCGUUGUCCGGAAUUAUUGGGCGUAAAGAGCUCGUAGGCGGUCUGUCGCGUCGAUCGUGAAAACUUGGGGCUUAACCCUGAGCUUGCGGUCGAUACGGGCAUGACUGGAGUUCGGCAGGGGAGACUGGAAUUCCUGGUGUAGCGGUGAAAUGCGCAGAUAUCAGAGGAACACCGGUGGCGAAGGCGGGUCUCUGGGCCGAUACUGACGCUGAGGAGCGAAAGCGUGGGGAGCGAACAGG
rnacentral:rRNA from 1 species